AAGACUAUACCUACAGUGAUCAUUUCUGUAGACAAUGAUGAGAGAAAUGUGCUUUAAAGUGUCCAAGCUCAACAACCACCCUGAUGAUUUUAAGAGCUUUCUUCUCAGUAUGAAGCCAGUUAGCAACUUUGUUUCAUGCAGAUGUUGUUUGCUUUUGUUGAUUGUCCUACUUCUUUAUAAAGAAGUGGUAGAAGAGUGCUCAUUCAGAAUGAC